rnacentral:rRNA from 1 species
UACGAAGGGAGCUAGCGUUGUUCGGAAUCACUGGGCGUAAAGCGCACGUAGGCGGACUUGUCAGUCAGGGGUGAAAUCCCGGGGCUCAACCUCGGAACUGCCUCUGAUACAGCAAGUCUUGAGUCCGGAAGAGGUGGGUGGAAUUCCUAGUGUAGAGGUGAAAUUCGUAGAUAUUCGGAGGAACACCAGUGGCGAAGGCGGCUCGCUGGACUGAUACUGACGCUGAGGUGCGAAAGCGUGGGGAGCAAACAGG